rnacentral:rRNA from 3 species
UUAAGCGACUAAGCGUACACGGUGGAUGCCCUGGCAGUCAGAGGCGAUGAAGGACGUGCUAAUCUGCGAUAAGCGUCGGUGAGGUGAUAUGAACCGUUAUAACCGGCGAUUUCCGAAUGGGGAAACCCAGUGUGUUUCGACACACUAUCAUUAACUGAAUCCAUAGGUUAAUGAGGCGAACCGGGGGAACUGAAACAUCUAAGUACCCCGAGGAAAAGAAAUCAACCGAGAUUCCCCCAGUAGCGGCGAGCGAACGGGGAGGAGCCCAGAGCCUGAAUCAGUGUGUGUGUUAGUGGAAGCGUCUGGAAAGGCGCGCGAUACAGGGUGACAGCCCCGUACACAAAAAUGCACAUGCUGUGAGCUCGAUGAGUAGGGCGGGACACGUGGUAUCCUGUCUGAAUAUGGGGGGACCAUCCUCCAAGGCUAAAUACUCCUGACUGACCGAUAGUGAACCAGUACCGUGAGGGAAAGGCGAAAAGAACCCCGGCGAGGGGAGUGAAAAAGAACCUGAAACCGUGUACGUACAAGCAGUGGGAGCCUCUUAAUGGGGUGACUGCGUACCUUUUGUAUAAUGGGUCAGCGACUUAUAUUCUGUAGCAAGGUUAACCGAAUAGGGGAGCCGAAGGGAAACCGAGUCUUAACUGGGCGUUAAGUUGCAGGGUAUAGACCCGAAACCCGGUGAUCUAGCCAUGGGCAGGUUGAAGGUUGGGUAACACUAACUGGAGGACCGAACCGACUAAUGUUGAAAAAUUAGCGGAUGACUUGUGGCUGGGGGUGAAAGGCCAAUCAAACCGGGAGAUAGCUGGUUCUCCCCGAAAGCUAUUUAGGUAGCGCCUCGUGAAUUCAUCUCCGGGGGUAGAGCACUGUUUCGGCAAGGGGGUCAUCCCGACUUACCAACCCGAUGCAAACUGCGAAUACCGGAGAAUGUUAUCACGGGAGACACACGGCGGGUGCUAACGUCCGUCGUGAAGAGGGAAACAACCCAGACCGCCAGCUAAGGUCCCAAAGUCAUGGUUAAGUGGGAAACGAUGUGGGAAGGCCCAGACAGCCAGGAUGUUGGCUUAGAAGCAGCCAUCAUUUAAAGAAAGCGUAAUAGCUCACUGGUCGAGUCGGCCUGCGCGGAAGAUGUAACGGGGCUAAACCAUGCACCGAAGCUGCGGCAGCGACACUAUGUGUUGUUGGGUAGGGGAGCGUUCUGUAAGCCUGUGAAGGUGGCCUGUGAGGGUUGCUGGAGGUAUCAGAAGUGCGAAUGCUGACAUAAGUAACGAUAAAGCGGGUGAAAAGCCCGCUCGCCGGAAGACCAAGGGUUCCUGUCCAACGUUAAUCGGGGCAGGGUGAGUCGACCCCUAAGGCGAGGCCGAAAGGCGUAGUCGAUGGGAAACAGGUUAAUAUUCCUGUACUUGGUGUUACUGCGAAGGGGGGACGGAGAAGGCUAUGUUGGCCGGGCGACGGUUGUCCCGGUUUAAGCGUGUAGGCUGGUUUUCCAGGCAAAUCCGGAAAAUCAAGGCUGAGGCGUGAUGACGAGGCACUACGGUGCUGAAGUGACAAAUGCCCUGCUUCCAGGAAAAGCCUCUAAGCAUCAGGUAACAUCAAAUCGUACCCCAAACCGACACAGGUGGUCAGGUAGAGAAUACCAAGGCGCUUGAGAGAACUCGGGUGAAGGAACUAGGCAAAAUGGUGCCGUAACUUCGGGAGAAGGCACGCUGAUAUGUAGGUGAAGCGACUUGCUCGUGGAGCUGAAAUCAGUCGAAGAUACCAGCUGGCUGCAACUGUUUAUUAAAAACACAGCACUGUGCAAACACGAAAGUGGACGUAUACGGUGUGACGCCUGCCCGGUGCCGGAAGGUUAAUUGAUGGGGUUAGCGGUAACGCGAAGCUCUUGAUCGAAGCCCCGGUAAACGGCGGCCGUAACUAUAACGGUCCUAAGGUAGCGAAAUUCCUUGUCGGGUAAGUUCCGACCUGCACGAAUGGCGUAAUGAUGGCCAGGCUGUCUCCACCCGAGACUCAGUGAAAUUGAACUCGCUGUGAAGAUGCAGUGUACCCGCGGCAAGACGGAAAGACCCCGUGAACCUUUACUAUAGCUUGACACUGAACAUUGAGCCUUGAUGUGUAGGAUAGGUGGGAGGCUUUGAAGUGUGGACGCCAGUCUGCAUGGAGCCGACCUUGAAAUACCACCCUUUAAUGUUUGAUGUUCUAACGUUGGCCCGUAAUCCGGGUUGCGGACAGUGUCUGGUGGGUAGUUUGACUGGGGCGGUCUCCUCCUAAAGAGUAACGGAGGAGCACGAAGGUUGGCUAAUCCUGGUCGGACAUCAGGAGGUUAGUGCAAUGGCAUAAGCCAGCUUGACUGCGAGCGUGACGGCGCGAGCAGGUGCGAAAGCAGGUCAUAGUGAUCCGGUGGUUCUGAAUGGAAGGGCCAUCGCUCAACGGAUAAAAGGUACUCCGGGGAUAACAGGCUGAUACCGCCCAAGAGUUCAUAUCGACGGCGGUGUUUGGCACCUCGAUGUCGGCUCAUCACAUCCUGGGGCUGAAGUAGGUCCCAAGGGUAUGGCUGUUCGCCAUUUAAAGUGGUACGCGAGCUGGGUUUAGAACGUCGUGAGACAGUUCGGUCCCUAUCUGCCGUGGGCGCUGGAGAACUGAGGGGGGCUGCUCCUAGUACGAGAGGACCGGAGUGGACGCAUCACUGGUGUUCGGGUUGUCAUGCCAAUGGCACUGCCCGGUAGCUAAAUGCGGAAGAGAUAAGUGCUGAAAGCAUCUAAGCACGAAACUUGCCCCGAGAUGAGUUCUCCCUGACUCCUUGAGAGUCCUGAAGGAACGUUGAAGACGACGACGUUGAUAGGCCGGGUGUGUAAGCGCAGCGAUGCGUUGAGCUAACCGGUACUAAUGAACCGUGAGGCUUAACCUU